GUCUACGGCCACACUGCCCUGAACACACCCGAUCCCGUCUGAUCUCGGAAGCUAAGCAGGGUCGGGCCUGGUUAGUACUCAGAUGGGAGACUGUCCAGGAAGACCAGGUGCUGUAGGUG
rfam:Pteropus alecto contig107456, whole genome shotgun sequence.